rnacentral:rRNA from 1 species
UGGCGACCGGCGCACGGGUGAGUAACGCGUAUGCAACCUGCCCGAUACCGGGGUAUAGCCCAUGGAAACGUGGAUUAACACCCCAUAGUACUUUUAUCCUGCAUGGGAUGUGAGUUAAAUGUUCAAGGUAUCGGAUGGGCAUGCGUCCUAUUAGUUAGUUGGCGGGUAACAGCCCACCAAGACGAUGAUAGGUAGGGGUUCUGAGAGGAAGGUCCCCCACAUUGGAACUGAGACACGGUCCAA